CAUGUCUGGAUGCUGUUUUUGUGGCUUCAGUUUGUGAUUCCUGGUUAUUACCAUAAACACGCUUAGAGAACAGAAAAUGGCGGCCUUGGCUUUUUUAGUCUUUCCAAAGACAACUCUCCCUUUCUUGAAUAGAAUUCCAUGCAGUGAUCUAUUGUAUUCUUACGUUCCAUUUGUCUGAGAAUGUUUUACAGAACUUGGUUCUCAAUCACUGCAUUAUCUAUAUAGUUCUGAAUCAUCGGUUUUGAGAAUGGUGGUGCUGCUACGGCUAUUUUAU